rnacentral:misc_RNA from 1 species
CGCCCAAGGUAGGAUUGAUGAUUAGGGUGAAGUCGUAACAAGGUAUCCGUACGAGAACGUGCGGAUGGAUCACCUCCUUUCUAUGGAGUUAAUACUUUAUAGUAAUUAACUAGUUUUAAUGACCGUUAUGUUUAGUUUUCAGAGAUUAGUUUCUCUGAAAAUAACAAGUAAAUGUUAUUGGAAUUGUUCUUUGAAAACUGGAUAAUAGACAUCUAGUUAUUUUAAUCACUUGAUUAAAAUAACAAUAAUUCAAAAUUUCUGUUAUUUUUAAAAAAUAACUAAAAUUUCACAGUUAUAUUUGUAAAUGAUUCUCAAAAAACUGAUUUAAAAUCAGGUCAAAUAAUUUAUAAAACUUUGAAGUUACAAAGGG